rnacentral:rRNA from 1 species
GACGAACGCUGGCGGCGUGCUUAACACAUGCAAGUCGAACGGAAAGGCCCCUUUGGGGGUGCUCGAGUGGCGAACGGGUGAGUAACACGUGAGUAACCUGCCCUUGACUUCGGGAUAACUUCAGGAAACUGGGGCUAAUACCGGAUAGGAAUCCUUGCUGCAUGGUGGGGGUUGGAAAGCUUCGGCGGUUUUGGAUGGACUCGCGGCUUAUCAGCUUGUUGGUGGGGUAGUGGCUUACCAAGGCUUUGACGGGUAGCCGGGCUGGGAGGGCGACCGGCCACAUUGGGACUGAGAUACGGCCCAGACGCCGACGGGAGGAAGCAGGGGGGAAGAUUGCACAAUGGGCGGAGGCCUGAUGCAGCAACGCCGCGGGCGGGAGGACGGCCUUCGGGUUGUAAACCGCUUUCAGCAGGGGCGAAGCUUGUGGUGACGGUACCUGCAGAAGAAGCACCGGCUAACUACGUG